rnacentral:pre_miRNA from 1 species
CUAGUACUCCCUCCGUCCGAAAAUACUUGUCGGAGAAAUGGAUGAAAAUGAGUGUAUCUAAAACUAAAUUGUGUCUAGAUACAUCCAUUCCUCCGACAAGUAUUUUCGGACGGAGGGAGUAGUUU